ACCAUGCUUAAUAUUCGGACUAUUUCCGGUUGACGAUUUUCGCGAACAAGCGUUUGUUCAAUCAGACGAAGUAAACAACAGCCGGUAAUUUCCAGAUCUUUGGAACCGCGUUUUCUUCUAGAACUUGGAAGCGUGUACUUUUAGUGAAUAUGUCAGGCAGAGACGGAGGCAAGAAGAAGCCACUCAAGCAACCCAAAAAGGACAAGGGUGAGAUGGAUGAGGAGGAUUUGGCAUUCAAAGAGAAGCAGAAGGAACAACAGAAGGCUAUGCAGGCUGCUAAAGAAAAGGCUUCACAAAAGGGGCCAUUAGUUGGUGGUGGCAUAAAAAAGUCUGGCAAAAAGUGACACUCGAUUUAUAUCGCCAUGUAACCUCAUCUUCAUCAAAAAAAAAUUGUGUACCUGAUAUGUGGGCAUUUCUUGUUCUUUCUAAUGGUGGAAAAAGCAUAAAAUAAUGUUCAUCAUGUGUAAAUUGAAGUAUUGAUUUCAUUAUAAAUUCAAAGGUUCAAAACUCUGUUGAUUGAACAGAAUUAUUUAUUAAACCCGUGCAAUUUGGCAAAUGUAUUUUUAAUCAUUUGAGUUUUAUACAUGUAUCCUGUGUUCUGAAACGUACCUGUAAAUUAUUACAUAAAUAUAGGAUGGAAUACUUGAGAACUUUUGACAGAUUUAUUUGCAAUUCAUAAAAAAUGCUUCUUUAAUUGCUUUGAAUGUGUCUUUUAACUGUAAAUAAACCAUUUGAAUAAAAUUUUGAUAAGUA